CUAAGAAUCUUCCGCAAUGGGGGAAACCCUGACGGAGCGACGCCGCGUGGACGAAGGAGGCCGCAAGGUUGUAAAGUCCUUUUGCAGGCGAAGAAUAGGCUUAGGAGUGGAACGCCUGAGCGAUGACGGUAGCCUGCGAAUAAGCCCCGGCCAAUUACGUGCCAGCAGCCGCGGUAACACGUAUGGGGCGAGCGUUGCCCGGAAUUAAUGGGCGUAAAGGGCGUGUAGGCGGUUUCGCAAGCCUGGCGUGAAAGGUGCCGGCUCAACCGGUAGAGUGCGCUGGGAACUGCGGGACUGGAGUCUUGGAGGGGGAGCUGGAAUUCCAGGUGUAGGGGUGAAAUCUGUAGAGAUCUGGAAGAACACCGGUGGCGAAGGCGAGCUCCUGGCCGAUGACUGACGCUGAGGCGCGAAAGCGUGGGGAGCAAACAG
rnacentral:rRNA from 1 species